rnacentral:misc_RNA from 1 species
AUCAUAUUUGAGUCUGCAAUCCAGUCUAGUAUCAAGAAAAAAUGCAACUAAAUUGAAGUUGACAAGAAGUGCAAUUUACACAGUAGCUCUCCUUUAAAUCCUUGCUUUCCAGAUCAGGUCGUCGUCACAAAACUAUCUGAAUUUACCAGGCAGGUAGUCCAUAAUCUUGAAUGCACAAUACAUACAUUCAUAUCAACGCUUUAUCAGUCAGUAAACAUUCCAUAAAAUCUCAUUUGCAAUCACGUCUCAAGAACAAAAUUGCGUUCAUUGAUUCAUUCUCAAUUCUCAAUUCUACUUCUCAAAAUAAUUGAAAAACAACAAAGAAACACCAAGUCGCAAACACCCAAUUAACUCCUCAAAUUCACUUCAGAUUAUAUCCGAUCCCAAACCCCAAAAAAAGUGAGGGUUUUACAUGUCAACGCUAAGUAGGUAAAUGUAGAAAGGGCAGUUUAAUAAGAGAUGAGUAGCAAUACCACCAAAAAAAAAGCAAAAAAUUACAUAAACCAGGAACCUUGGACACACAUCUUUGAAUAAAUAGUUUUAUAGCUUCUUUAACACAAAAUUAGCUUCAUUAGCUCAAAACUACUAUUUAAAAGCCAACAAGGACUACCUAAAAUCUCAG